AUGUGCCUGACUGAGAUGCUCUGGGAAGAGCCCGACUGUGACCAGGAGACCCUGAAAUUCUGCACUUCCAGCAAAGAGUUGGGACGUGGCUGUGCUCGCUGCGGCAGCACCUGUACCAGAAAAAGGAAGUCGAAACAUUUCUUCUCUCAAGGUCUCCAGCUGAGAUGUCCUUCUGCCUCUCCCUGGGCAUUAACCUCUGUCUUCACUGAACCAGUGGCUAAGAAGUCUUAGCUGGUUUUUGAUGGUGUUAACAUCCACUGUGGCCAACCAUAGGCCCCGCCAUUAUCCUCAGUCCUGAAGUAGCUGCUCUUUGUGGCUUCUGCAUUUUAACUCCAGGUCCGUGACAUUUUAGGGGUCCUCUCAGCAUGCCUUUGCCUCCAUGGCUGGUGGAAACUUCUGGAUCUUUUGUGUACUAAGCUCUAUGUUGACUAAACGUAUCUUUCUGAUCACCUCUUUCUGCCAAUGCCAUUUCUUUAUCUCUACCAUAAACUGUAGUGCUCUCAGAUCUAGUCACAUUUAUCUGAAUUUUGUAUGCAUCCCUUUGAGUUCUGAGCUCUCUUUUUUUUUUUUUUUUUUUUAAGAUUUUUUUACUUAUUCAUGAGAGACACACACAGAGAGAGAGGCAGAGACACAGGCAGAGGGAGAAGCAGGCUCCAUGCCGGGAUCCCAGUGCGGGACUCGAUCCCCGGACCCCAGGAUCACGCCCUGAGUGGAAGGCAGACGCUCAACCUCUGAGCCAUUCAGGCGUCCCGAGUUCUGAGCUCUCUGUUCUACCUCUGGAAAGUGAAGGACUUUCUUUUUUUUAACCUCUUUUUGAGCAGGUUAUAUUUUCUCCAUAUGGAGGCAGCAUUUGACAUCCUUUCCUUGGGGCCAUAGGGUGCUAGGACUAUGGGGGAAUAUAAUUUACAGAGCUAAUAGACUACAUUUACUAUUUUCAGAAUAAUAUUCUUAUGCAAAGACUCAUUUAUACAUACAUUAUUAAAACAAAAUUAUACUAUACAUAUUUUUCUGAAAUUUUAUUUUAUUUUUAGAUCUUAUUUAUUUAAAGAGUUUCUACAUCCAACAUGGGGCUUGAACUCAUGACCCUGAGAUCAAGAGUACCAUGCUGUUCCAGCCGUGCCAGCCAGGCACCCCUGAAACUUCUCUUUUAACCUAAUAAUAUAUUUUGGAAUAUUUUCCAUGCUUAGAUAUUCAGAUGUACCUAGUUCAUUUUAAUGGAUACAUAGCACUCUAUUUUAUGACUAUCAUAAGUUGUCUGGUUGAUGGACAUUUAGUUUGUAUGCUGUUUUUUUAUUAUGGAUGUUUCUGCAAUAGCUAUCCUUGUACAUUGUGAACAAAAAUUUUAAUUUUUCUAUUUCCUUUAUAAAUUUGGUGUUUUCUUCCCUGCUUAAAAUGUUUUUUCUAUUUCAAAACCAAAAAUGUAUUUCUUUUUUACUUUCUUUUAUGGCUUUAAAUGUUUAAUGCAUUUGGAUUUUAUAUUUUACAUGUUCUGUGAUAUAGGCAGCAUUGCUAUUUUCCAUGUAUUUUAAAAUUGUGUAUUUUUAAAAGAAAACUGUUUUUUUCUUCCCCCACAGAAAAAUUUUCUGGUUGAAUUGGUUCCAUUGGGAAAAAUUUAGGUUGAGGGAUGUUCUAAUUGACCUCAAUUUCACACUCAACAUUUCAGUUCAGAUUCUUUUGUCUCAGGCUAUAAUUGCCAAUUGUCCUAAGCCUGUCUUUAGAAUAAGAUGGAUAUAAAUUUCCAGCUCCUCUGUUUGCAAUUGUUAGGUGGUUAAUUAUCCAAAUACUCAAUCUCCGUUCACAGAUCCUCACUGCAAACAUGACGGUGUACAAACAAAGUUAGGUCUCUUUGAAAUAUAUGUAGAAUCCCAAAGUGAACACCAUCAGGUAGAAUUUGUGCAGCUCUGUCAUCAGGUUAGACAUAUUUUCAAUGAUAUGUUUGUAAUAUAAAAACAGAAUUAUCAGAGUCUGCAUUUUAUUUUAAAAAAUAUUUUAUUUAUUUAUUUUACAGAGAAAGAGUGAGAACACAAGUAGGCAGAGGAGCAGGCAGAGACAGAGGGAGAAGCAGCAGGGAGCAGGGAGCCUGAUUGUGGGGCUGGAUCCUAGGACCCCGGGAUAUGACUUGAGCUGAAGGCAGACGCUUAACCUCUGGACCACCCAGGAGCCCCCAAAGCCUGCAUUUUAGUGAUAUUUGUGUAUACUGCUAUUUUUUUGCAAAAAGAGCAUGUGUUUCUUUUUUCCUAAGUACCAGUAUUCAUUUUUUAAGAAAUUGGGAAACACAAGACAUGUACAGAGAAGAAAAUGAUUCACUGGCACCUAGAGAAAGUCAUGCUUAAUGUGUUGGCCUGUUUUUUUCCUCAUGUUGUACCUAUAUAAUCCACUCAUGUUUCUUUAUAUAGAGAGCGAAGGAACACCAAAUUCAUUUUGGCCAAAUGCUGAGAGAUUGACUAUUAAGAUCAAUAUUCAGCGGAACUGAGACCAAAGGCAAAUAUAACCAUCAAAAAUGAAUUUACUGAGGUAGAUUCAAGAUGAGGUCAAUAAACUGAACUAUUACUACA
ensembl:lncRNA